UAAAAAAAAAAUCCUGGUUUUCGUGUCCAAUGUUUGACCGUCCAUGUUAUUUAAAAAAAAUAUGAAAAAAAAUUAAAAAGAUAAGUCACGCAUAAAGUAUUAAUCAUUUUUUAUUAUCUAACCACAAUGAAAAUACUAAUUAUAAAAAAAUUUCAUAUAAGAUGGACAGUCAAACGUUGACACGGAAAUCCAGGGUUUACCUUUUU
rfam:Oryza barthii chromosome 6, whole genome shotgun sequence.